AAUGGAUAUAAUAUCCUUCCUCACUUGCCCUCUGUUUUAGGAUCCUGAAUCUGGUGACCCGCCAAGGAGUGACAUGGGCGAACACACUUGGGUCAGUGGUUCUGUUGUAGAGUGUGUUUGGGGUGGCCAUCGCGAAGACCUGAGGAGCAGAGGAUGACAUCAUCACGGUUGUUGCCGGGACCAUGACAGGCAUGCUGUACAAGUCCACAGAUACCUAUGGACCCUAAGAAUUAUGGUGUGUCUUCCCUGCUCCGCCACUCCUGGGUCAACCCCUCUGCUACGAUGCGCCUACCCCCGCCCAACAGGUGCACCAUAUCUACCUCCCUCUUCAGAGUUGCAUUAUCUGGUGCCUCAUUUCCCCCUACCUAAAGUGCCAUCAACAGCUAUCCGGUUUGGACAUGACUUUGACUUCCCUUCUCUCAGCUGAACCAGGCUAGCAGUAGAGUCUGAACAUAAAAUUACCCUUUUAUGCCCCACUUCUUCCCCCCAUCCCAAUGCCCACACUCGUGCAAGCGUUUCAGCAAAGACAGAAGCUCCACCAGACAGCUGCAUCCCAAACCCUGCUCUCCCACUGCCUCGGUCCCUUGACCCAUCUGUGAAGAUCUGCGAACAGAGACCCCACGCCCGCUGUAGAUGCGCCUCAACCACCACAAGGCAGUCCUCAGCCCUUAUUUCAAAAUAAGAGUCCCUCGCUUUAUCAUGCCAAAAUAAAAUAAAAACAUCGAUUUCCUAUUUUGUAUAUAAUUCUAAUAAUUGAUCACAGUUGUGGUGGUAAAAGGACUGCAUCUUGCUCUAACUGUUGGUUUGAGUUAGGACUAUCAUGGUGGUGUCCAUUAAAACACAGAUGGUGGUUUGCAGUUCAAAGGGCUGAUGCCCAGUUUAUUACUUAAGUUGAAUUGAAGAUAAUGACAAGAUUGAUGAUGUAAGGAUGGAGUGAUUAAGUAGGAAACAAACAAAGAAACACAUGGUAGUGAUUUCAUAUAAACCAUACGCAGAUAUACUAAUACUCAUGAAUAUCUAACAUUAAAAUAAUUUUACAGUGAAGAAACUUAGGCAAUAGGUUUAAACAUGAGUAAAGGAAAUGCAUAAAGCAAACAAACAGCAAAUGUUCUAAAUCAAAUGAUAAUCUAAAUGAAUAAAUAAGAACAAACUUUAUUGGUCCUAAACACAUUCAAAAUACACAAAGGAAAGGAUUACAAGCAAAAAGGUGUUUUGUAACAAAACACUUGCAAAUUGAAAUGGUCAGGUCUACCACACUGUGUGACAGGUCUGGGUAUUUAAAGGUGGUGAAGGAGCUGAGUCCUGUCUCUGUUGGAAGGGGGAUUGGACAGGGGAGGGUGAUAGCGUGAGGGGACUGUCGGUCAGGGUAGGGGUAAUUCGACCACAAUAAUAAAGUACCACAGUAUGAGUGAUAAUGCAUGGUUAUCAAAAUGUCACGCCAGGCCUUGUCAUGACUGUCCUGUGAGGAUCCAGAGGGGUUGGAUCAGCUUUGCAGUGGAUGACAGCCCACACCCUGUUGUAAAUCAAGGAGAGAACAUCCCUCUCCAAAUUCAUACAGGAAUGUGUCUUUGUUACAGACAUUUUCCAGCCGAAAAUCUAACACGUUCUAAAGCGAAUACUGGAACAAUAUUUCUAACAUAGAAAGUGGGGAAUGGUCGAAGGCUAUCUAUAGAAUAAUAUUGUCAUUUUGGUUGUCAUAAAAUGUUAAAAAGGAAAUACUGUAACUUGAAAGGUAUAUACACUACAUUUACGAAGUUUCCAUCCUCUACGUUGUGUAUAAAAUACGAAACAUUAAUGUUUUUGUUAAGAGAGGGAUGUGAUCUUAGAAACUAUAAGAGAAAAUUGUUUCUAUAACUUUGUUCAAGUAGUCACCACCCCCCUGAGUGAGAUCAGAGAGCAUGUCAGCCUCACGAACUGCCCUCUUUUGAACAAACUGUAUAAAACCAUGGGUUAAGAAUUUAAAUUUCAGACCAGAGAGAUGUGUAGCUGCAGCUCACGUCCAAAGUGGUUCGAAUUCAUUCUCAACACGAGGUAGAGAUCUCCCAGACGUAAUUUCCCAGACAAUCACUGGUAUGGAUGAUUAGCUGUUCUAAGUAAAGUAUCUAGAAAAGCUAAAUUAAGUGGGACCAUUCUACUACUCUCUUCAAACCAUCAUAUUUUACUACUCAUCACCCCACUGGGAAUCACAGGCUAGCCAGGUGUGUCAAUCUUCAAAGACUCAUCUUCCAGAGCGAAUGGAAGAAUAACAAUAGAAGACGUGUGGGGAACCCUUUUGGACAAUCAAAGCCUUACAAGCGUGCAGUGAAAAGACCCAACACCCUUUCCAAGGCCUGGCUCCGACAGAAAUAUGAAGAACCAAGACAUUUACAGGUAAAUACAUUCAUGAUUCCUUACUCCAAAUGGGCGGUGAUUUGUGUGUAAAGUAUAUGAUUACUGUGAGAGUAGUGUCUAAAAUGUACCAACAUUAAGUGUCUGUCUCUCUCUCCAUCUCUUAUGUAACAAGCUGCCAUAUUGUGUCAGUCCACUAGGGACCUGUUUCUAUUGUAUUAAGUGUGUAUGUUUAUCCCGUGUUACCAUUUAGUU